rnacentral:rRNA from 1 species
AAUCAACGCUGGCGGCGUGCCUCAGACAUGCAAGUCGAACGAUUAAAGCUCUCUUCGGAGAGUGCAUAGAGUGGCGCACGGGUGAGUAACACGUAAGUAAUCUACCUCCGAGUGGGGAAUAACACCGAGAAAUCGGUGCUAAUACCGCAUAAUGCAGCGGCAUCGCAAGAUGACAGUUGUUAAAGAUUUAUCGCUUGAAGAGGAGCUUGCGGCAGAUUAGCUAGUUGGUAAGGUAAUGGCUUACCAAGGCUACGAUCUGUAACCGGUCUAAGAGGACGGUCGGUCACACUGACACUGAAUAACGGGUCAGACUCCUACGGGAGGCAGCAGUCGGGAA